rnacentral:lncRNA from 1 species
CUUGGCCUCUGCCGUCGCCGCCGGACUCUGCAGUCCCAGACUCACUGAAAAGCUACCAGCUAGACGCGGUCGCCGGACUCCCGACUCUGUGAAAUAUCUGGUGUCAGAAGUGGGAUUCAAAGAUUCCUGCCUAUUCUGUCACCUGUGUCAACCUCAGAGAGCUAGUACCAGCACAAGACCCCUUGUGUCCAAGCCUGGAUUUAACUCAAUGGUCCAGGCUGCUGGUUGUUAAAUAUUGAUAAGCACAUCCCCUGCAGGAAGCCCAUUGUUGCUUUGCUGCUACCAACAGAUCACCUCCCUUCAGCUCUCUGGAAUCAGCCCAGGAACUCCUCCCCACUCUGUCCCUGUAAUAAAUGGGUUGGGGAGGAUGUCAGGAAUGAUCAUGAAAUACUCUUUUUAUAUUUCCCUUGUGCACCUGGGGGGAUGUGGAGGGGAACUAAAACCAAGUCUCUAUGAGUUGUUUCUUGCCCAGGGUCACACAUCUGGGAAGUGUCCGAGACCAGAUUUUAACCUAGAAUCUCCUGUCUCUAGGCCUGGCUCUCAGUCCACUGAGGUACCCAGCUGCUCCCUACUAAUUAUUUUUAAACCCAAAUGGAACAAGAAGCUGGGGCUAGAGUAGAGAGAUGGGAGAAAGAGGGGCAAAAUGUCAAGUUGAGAUAAAGCAUAUAGUUUGUAUUGGUGUGGUGUGUGUCUGUGUGAGUCACCAUUAAUUUUUAAAACAAAACAAUACAAAUGCAUGCAUGUAAGUAUGUAACACAACAGUGUGUAACAUGCAUGUAAUAUAACAAUGUUAUGUGUGUAACAUAAUAGCAU